rnacentral:rRNA from 1 species
CGCAUGCAGGCGGCCUGUUAAGUCAGAUGUGAAAGACCCGGGGCGUUAACCUCGGAAAUUGCAUUUGUAAACUGGCAGGCUAGAGUCUUGUAGAGGGGGGUAGGAAUUUCUAGGUGUAGCGGUGAAAUGCGUAGAGAUCUGAAGGAAUACCAGUGGCGAAGGCGGCCCCCUCGGACAAAGACUGACGCUCAGAUGCGAAAGCGUGGGGAGCAAACAGGAUUAGAUACCCUGGUAG